rnacentral:rRNA from 1 species
CACGGAGUUAGCCGGUGCUUCUUCUGCGGGUAACGUCAAUGACGAAGCGUAUUAAGCUUCAUCCCUUCCUCCCCGCUGAAAGUACUUUACAACCCGAAGGCCUUCUUCAUACACGCGGCAUGGCUGCAUCAGGCUUGCGCCCAUUGUGCAAUAUUCCCCACUGCUGCCUCCCGUAGGAGUCUGGACCGUGUCUCAGUUCCAGUGUGGCUGGUCAUCCUCUCAGACCAGCUAGGGAUCGUCGCCUAGGUGAGCCGUUACCCACCUACUAGCUAAUCCCAUCUGGGUUCAUCCGAUAGUGAGAGGCCCGAAGGUCCCCCUCUUUGGCUUGCGACGUUAUGCGGUAUUAGCCACCGUUUCCAGUGGUUAUCCCCCUCUAUCGGGCAGACUCCCCAGACAUUACUCACCCGUCCGCCACUCGUCACCCAGGGACGCAAGCUCCUCUGUGCUACCGUUCGACUUGCAUGUGUUAGGCCUGCCGCCAGCGUUCAAUCUGACGCCG